AUAGGAAGAAUUCAUCUGUAGAAGUAAUAAUAAUCGUAAGACUAACUAUGCUUAUACAUAUAGAUUGCAAAAUAUUUUAAUUAAAAUCAUUAAUUUACAUUUCUAAUGCCUUUUGUGUUGUUUCUCCCUCCAGGUUUGAAUACAUACAAAUAUGAAAGAAUUAAACUGAUUUAAAUGCUCAUUACUACUAUGCAGAACUGAGGAAAUGUAACCUCCAGGUAGUCUUAGAGCAUUACACUGUGAAUGCAGGAAAUGUUUAGGCAUCUGGUCUCAAAUACAGGACAUUCUCCUGUAUAAAUUAAAUACAUCAAUGGCAGAAAAUUAUGGAAAAAUUAUUUUCUUCAAUGGCAGAACACAAAGGAAGUAAAGGAAAUUGAAGCUCCAAGGAAUUGAUAACUCGCCCGAAGUCAUACAACUAAUCAGAUUCUACAGGAGUCAAACUCUGGCAGUCCGGCCCCAGAUCCUGAGGCUUCUUUCAAUGUACUCCCAAAGACCAAAAAAAAAAAAAGAUGCGUACAUUCAACUCGGAAUGUAACACGGUUGUUCGAUAAGAAAUAAAGUGGAAGGACACUGUUACUCAAACAAUGAAAAUGAGAAGAAUACCUGCCCUAUUUACUUUAAGGGAUUUCUGACUGUUGAAAACAUAUUCAAAAUAAUAUAUUAAAUUCAAAUAAAAUUAAAGAUGACAUGAAAAUAUAUAAGCUAUGGAAUGGGUUAAAUGCAAAUGACAAGCAUGUAUGUACAAAGGUGCAUAUAUAUACGCCAUCAAGUAAGAAUACAUAAAUUGUAAAGAGUAGAAGAUUUUAAACUUUUUGUUUCUCAAAUGAUAUUGGAUUAUAUUCAUGAAACCUGCAAUAGUUGAAAUUUAUAUUUGACUUAGAAAUUAUAUAAUUAAGCAUUGAUUUACUGUGUACUAAACUUCGUAGCCUUCACUUUUUUACAUUGGUCAGCAUGAAUUAUAAGUGUCAAAUGAUGGCAGUUUAUAAAUGUUGUAACUAUACUUUAUAAACUAAUCAGCCAAGAGAUAAUUGAUUUUAUUUUUCUCAGCAUUAUAAAUCAUACAUCAGCUUAGGUGUUUCUAUUAGAUAUGAUACCAGUUUGGUCCCAGCUUUUUAAAAGAGUAAUAACAUGGGCAGCUGUAGUGUAGUAGAAAUCAUGUUUUUUUCAAUGGCAGACAAGUUUUGCAGGAAAAAAAAUAAAGCCUGGAAGAAAUAUUAUAUAACAUGUUCUGUAAUUUAGCAACAAUUAUCAAUGUGAUAGAUUGAAAAUCAUGACAUUGCUUACCUACAAAAUUUAUUGUGACAACUUAUAGAUGUGAAUAAAAUUUAAUUUCUAUCUGAAGAUGAUUCUUGCAUUAAAAAUUGUGGAAUUUGGAAUCUAUUUUAUUGAAUUGUUAUUUACUUUUAACUAUACCUUUAGAAAAUAAAUCUUUAGAAGUAGCAAGUAAUGAAUGAUUGAUUGAUUGCAGAUGAUUGAUUGUU